UGGGGAAUCUUGCGCAAUGGGCGAAAGCCUGACGCAGCGAUGCCGCGUGAGCGAUGAAGGCCUUCGGGUUGUAAAGCUCUGUGGAUGGAGACGAAUAAGUGUGGGCUAAUACCCUUCAUGAUGACGGUAUCCAUUUAGCAAGCACCGGCUAACUCUGUGCCAGCAGCCGCGGUAAUACAGAGGGUGCAAACGUUGUUCGGAAUUACUGGGCGUAAAGCGCGUGUAGGCGGCACUGUAGGUCGGAUGUGAAAUCCCGUGGCUCAACCAUGGAAGUGCAUUCGAAACCGCAGAGCUAGAGUAUCGGAGAGGAAGGUGGAAUGCUUGGUGUAGAGGUGAAAUUCGUAGAUAUCAAGCGGAACACCGGUGGCGAAGGCGGCCUUCUGGACGAUUACUGACGCUGAGACGCGAAAGCGUGGGUAGCAAACAGG
rnacentral:rRNA from 1 species